ACACAUUAAAAAAUGUGAAAUAUCCACCAUAUAUACUCUUGUGUAUAACUGGUAUCAGUUGAUCAGAUUCUGAACUACAGUUCAUAGAGUCUGACAACUUGAAGAAAGCUGAUUGAGAAUGCAUGCCAUGUUGAUUAACUUCCGUGGGUGCUACUCAACAGCAAAAGGAACUAGCUGAAUGAGUUUGCAUGCCAUGUUGAUUAACUUCCGUGGGUGCUACUCAACAGCAAAAGGAACUAGCUAAAUGAGUUUGCAUGCCAUGUUGAUUAACUUCCGUGGGUGCUACUCAACAGCAAAAGGAACUAGCUGAAUGAGUUUGCAUGCCAUGUUGAUUAACUUCCGUGGGUGCUACUCAACAGCAAAAGGAACUAGCUGAAUGAGUGUGCAUGUGCCAUGUUGAUUAACUUCCGUGGAUGCUACUCAACAGCAAAAGAAAUCUAUUCUAUUGAUCGGUCGACUUCCUGGCAUACAUACACCAUGUAUUGCCUAGUGUCCCAGAUAGAUAGAUGGUAAGCAAAACACAAUAUUGUGUUUGCUCAGUGUCAAAAUGAAAAUGACAAAAUAGCCAAUACUAAAUGUGAUCAUUAGCCAGCAAGAAUAUAAA
rnacentral:misc_RNA from 1 species